UACGUAGGGUGCGAGCAUUGUCCGGAAUUACUGGGCGUAAAGAGCUCGUAGGUGGUUUGUCGCGUUGUUCGUGAAAACUCACAGCUUAACUGUGGGCGUGCGGGCGAUACGGGCAGACUGGAGUACUGCAGGGGAGACUGGAAUUCCUGGUGUAGCGGUGGAAUGCGCAGAUAUCAGGAGGAACACCGGUGGCGAAGGCGGGUCUCUGGGCCAUUACUGACGCUGAGGAGCGAAAGCGUGGGGAGCGAACAGG
rnacentral:rRNA from 1 species